rnacentral:rRNA from 1 species
GACGAACGCUGGCGGCGUGCCUAAUACAUGCAAGUCGAGCGGACAGAUGGGAGCUUGCUCCCUGAUGUUAGCGGCGGACGGGUGAGUAACACGUGGGUAACCUGCCUGUAAGACUGGGAUAACUCCGGGAAACCGGGGCUAAUACCGGAUGGUUGUUUGAACCGCAUGGUUCAAACAUAAAAGGUGGCUUCGGCUACCACUUACAGAUGGACCCGCGGCGCAUUAGCUAGUUGGCGAGGUAACGGCUCACCAAGGCAACGAUGCGUAGCCGACCUGAGAGGGUGAUCGGCCACACUGGGACUGAGACACGGCCCAGACUCCUACGGGAGGCAGCAGUAGGGAAUCUUCCGCAAUGGACGAAAGUCUGACGGAGCAACGCCGCGUGAGUGAUGAAGGUUUUCGGAUCGUAAAGCUCUGUUGUUAGGGAAGAACAAGUACCGUUCGAAUAGGGCGGUACCUUGACGGUACCUAACCAGAAAGCCACGGCUAACUACGUGCCAGCCGCCGCGGUAA